UUCUAGCACCAGUUGAUUUAAAAAAAAAAAAAAAAAUGUUUUCCAGUGGAGUUCCUCCAUGUAAAGCCCUAUACCCUGCGCACCCCGCUGACAGAAAGGUGGUGCCUGCUGCAAGUGGCGGAACUCUGCAGUGUGAAUGAGCUCUUAAAGGGAUUAUUCAGGAAUAGAAAAAUACAGCUAAUUUCUUUCAAAAACAGCACCACGUCUGUCUCCAGGUUGGGUGUGGUUCUGCAGCUCAGUUCCAUUUGAGUGAAUGGAGCCAAGUUGUAAUACCACACCCAAAGUGGAGACAGACGGGGAGCGGUUUUUGAAAGAAAUUAGCUGAAUUUUUCUAUUCCUGUAUAACUCCUUUAAUUGACACAGCCUAAAAACAGGUCAGGGUUAAGGCCCCCCCAUACAGAUUAGACAAUCUAAACUGGAUUGGCCAAUCAUCUAAAGUGUAUGGGGCCUCCCGACUCUUCCCUAACAGAUGAUACCAGGGAUGAGAAGAAUGGGGCAUGUUGAAUUUUAACAGCAAAAUUGUUUUGUCUUGGAAAGAUAAGCCACCCCCGGAGGUGUCUGGCAGCUCAUCAGGUCCGGUCUGGCAGACCAUCAUAGACCCCACCUGGCCGCAUUACGAUUUUUGCACCCGUUGAGUUGAUAUAUGAUCCUGUCCUUAAAGAUCAUAUAGAAUCCUAUAUCUAGACAGAUCCAUUGACUUUUAUUGACAAAUCAUAUUUUCUUUCCGAUAUAAAUUGUACCCGUUUUUUUUUUUUUUUUUUUAAACAUUAUUGUCUAUGUAAAUCGCAUCGAAAUCGUAUCUGUAAAUUUUUAUUCGCGAAAUCGUACACAUUUUUUUUACACUUACGCCAUAGAAAAUCAAGUAACAUUAAAACAGAUAUAUAUAUAUAUAUAUAUAUAUUUAUUUAUUUAUUUAUUUAAUAAAAUGGACAAAAUUGUGUAAAAACCUUCUACCAUAUGACAGAACUGAUACAAAUCCAUAUGGUUUUAGGCCAUCCGUUUUAAGAAAAUGCUGCAAAAAUCGUAAUGUGAAUGCGGCCUUAAUACUUUCUUCAGAUAAUGCGCAGUAACAUGUCCAUAGAUAGCAAAACAUGCAGUCCCGGGCUAAACCAGUGUUUCCAACCAGUGUGCCUCCAGCUGUUGCAAAACUACAACUCCCAGCAUGCCCAGACAGCCUUCGGCUGUCUGGGCAUGCUGGGAGUUGUGGUUUUGAAACAGCUGGAGGCACACUGGAUAGAAAACACUGCUCUGAACCUUUAUUGUUUUAUUGACCAAUUUCUAAUCUGGUUUAACCCCCGGGCUGCUUAUUUCAAGUUCAUUGUAAAAUGUUGUCGCCGUUUUUGCGCCAGAAAGUGUACAAACAACACUGCUGUAAACAUGUAGGCGGGAUUCAUAGCAGCCAAUCAGAUUCAUGUUUUUCUGAUGACAAGAUUGGAAGUCUGAUUGGUUGCUACAGGCAACGCCGACCCUAUUUUUUUUGUUCUUUAGUCUGCACUACUUUUGAUACAUAAGGCCAAUGUGCCUUGUUACCCAUAGCAACCAAGCUGUUGCAGUUGUGAAAGUGAAAGUAGAACUCUCCUUGGUUGCUGAGACCAUCAGGCCCCGUAGUUAUAGAUAUCUCAUUGGUCACAUCAUCGCAUAUUUCUGCAGGGAAAAAGUCAAAGUGCCCCCACAACGUGCCCCUCAUCAUGGCAUUUACGUCAUACGGCACAAUCACUUACGGUUAUUUUGGAUAGUACAUGAGUGGUGACGCAUAAGUGAUACCCGUUGCCCGGUCACGAUACAGGAGUCCAUUUUGCGAGCCCGAACAUUGUUGACGCACAGGGUUAAUCUCAUGGGUAGUACUAACAUGGGUUUCUCCUUUUAAGAGUGCUAUUCGUAGGAGGCCAUUUUGUGGAAGUUCAUAAGAUGGCAGUACAUGGGAUUACACGCAUGGACAUCAGUUGUAACACGCCUUCAAUUUUAUUAAAGGGGUUAUCCAGGGAAAAACUUUUUUUUUAUAUAUCAACUGGCUCCAGAAAGUUAAACAGAUUUGUAAAUUGCUUCUAUAAAAAAAAAAAAUCUUCAUCCUUUCAGCACUUAUGAGCUUCUGAAGUUGAGUUAUUCUUUUCUGUCUAAGUGCUCUCUGAUGACACCUGUCUCGGGAACUGCCCAGUUUAGAAGCAAAUCCCCAUAGCAAACCUCUUCUACUCUGCGCAGUUCCCGUGACAAGCAGAGAUGUCAGCAGAGAGCACUGUUGCCAGACAGAAAACAACAACUCAACUUCAGCAGCUGAUAAUUAUUGAAAGGAUUAAGAUUUUUUAAUAGAAGUCAUUAACAAAUCUGUUUAACUUUCUGAAGCCAGUUGAUCUAAAAAAAAAUUAUUUUUUAUUUCCUGGAAUACCCCUUUAAAGGGGUACUCCGGUGAAAACCUUUUUUCUUUUAAAUCAACUGGUGGCAGAAAGUUAAACAUAUUUGUAAAUUACUUCUAUUAAAAAAUCUUAAUCCGUCCAGUACUUAUUAGCUGCUGAAUGCUACAGAGGAAAUUCCUUUCUUUUUCGAACAUUGAUGACAUCAUGAGCACAGUGCUCUCUGCUGACAUCUCUGUCCAUUUUAUCAACCAUGCAUAGCAGAUGUAUGCUAAGGGCAGCAUGGUGGCUCAGUGGUUAGCACUGCUGCCUUGCAGUGCUGGGGACUUGGGUUCAAAUCCCACUAAGGACAACAAUAAAUAAAGCCUUAUUAUUAUUAUAAUAACGUCAGCAGAGAGAACUGUGCUCGUGAGGUCAUCAGAGAGCAGUCCAAAAAGAAAAGAAUUUCCUCUGUAGUAGUCAGCAGCUAAUAAGUACAGGAAGGAUUAAGAUUUUUUUAAUAGAAGUAAUUUACAAAUUGUCACGAUGCCGGCUGGCAGGAGGUGGAUCCUCUGUGCCAGAGAGGGAUUGGCGUGGACCGUGCUAGUGGACCGGUUCUAAGUCACUACUGGUUUUCGCCAGAGCCCGCCGCAAAGCGGGAUGGUCUUGCUGCGGCGGUAGUGACCAGGUCGUAUCCACUAGCAACGGCUCAACCUCUCUGACUGCUGAAGAUAGGCGCGGUACAAGGGAGUAGACAGAAGCAAGGUCGGACGUAGCAGAAGGUCGGGGCAGGCAGCAAGGAUCGUAGUCAGGGGCAACGGCAGGAGGUCUGGAACACAGGCUAGGAACACACAAGGAAACGCUUUCACUGGCACGAUGGCAACAAGAUCCGGCGAGGGAGUGCAGGGGAAGUGAGGUAUACAUAGGGAGUGCACAGGUGAAGACACUGAUUAGAACCACUGCGCCAAUCAGCGGCGCAGUGGCCCUUUAAAUCGCAGAGACCCGGCGCGCGCGCGCCCUAGGGAGCGGGGCCGCGCGCGCCGGGACAGGACCGACGGAGAGCGAGUCAGGUACGGGAGCUGGGGUGCGCAUCGCGAGCGGGCGCGACCCGCAUCGCGAAUCGCAUCCCGGCUGGAGGCGGUAUCGCAGUGUACCCGGUCAGUGGAUCUGACCGGAGCGCUGCAGUAGCGAGAGUGUAGCGAGCGCUCCGGGGAGGAGCGGGGACCCGGAGCGCUCGGCGUAACACAAAUAUCUUUAACUUUCUGCCACCAGUUGAUUUAAAAGAAAAAAGGUUUUCACCGGAGUACCCCUUUAAGGUCAUUGACAGGUCACACACUAUAGGCCGCCCCCUGCUGUGUGUCAGCGGCAAACUCUAUGCCAGUGGUCCGCAGGUUGGAGACCACUGCUCUACGCCAUGGGAGACAGUGAUGUGACAGGCCUCACGGGGUGCGUAGCUGUGUCUGUGGAUGAGAGGAUUAUGACUUGCAUGUGAGGAGACGCUCAUUUGAGCUGCUUUGGGAGGGAGACAUUUUCUUCUUUAAAAUCUUUUUAUCUGUGCCAAACCCCAUGUCUCUUGUAAAUAUGACCCGAUUCUUCAUUAAAGUAAUUUAUUUCAGCUCUU